UCCCUGGUGGCUCAGAGGUAAAGCUUCUGCCUGCAAUGCAGGAGACUCAGGUUUGAUUCCUGGGUCAGGUUA
rnacentral:tRNA from 1 species